rnacentral:piRNA from 1 species
UGCUUUAGGUCCGCAGGAAUGUGAUGG